rnacentral:rRNA from 1 species
GUAAUUCUAGAGCUAAUACAUGCAAACAGAGCUCCGACCGGAGACGGAAGGAGUGCUUUUAUUAGAUCAAAACCAAUCGGUGGCGGGUUCGCCCGUUAUCGUACAACUUGGUGACUCUGAAUAACUUUACGCUGAUCGCACGGUCAUCGCACCGGCGACGCAUCUUUCAAAUGUCUGCCUUAUCAACUGUCGAUGGUAGGUUCUGCGCCUACCAUGGUUGUAACGGGUAACGGGGAAUCAGGGUUCGAUUCCGGAGAGGGAGCCUGAGAAACGGCUACCACAUCCAAGGAAGGCAGCAGGCGCGCAAAUUACCCACUCCCGGCACGGGGAGGUAGUGACGAAAAAUAACGAUACGGGACUCAUCCGAGGCCCCGUAAUCGGAAUGAGUACACUCUAAACCCUUUAACGAGGAUCAAUUGGAGGGCAAGUCUGGUGCC